rnacentral:misc_RNA from 1 species
GGAAAGCGACCUCAUCAUGAAAAGUUGCACAUACGGGUAAAGGGUCAGCACAAUGACACCCCGAUAAGCUUACCAGUGCCAUCACAGGCACUCCUCUCCUUUUUCCCUCACUCGCUCUUUACGGCACUUUACACGCGUAGGGAGCGGCACAGACAUCUUGCCAUCACCAAAGGGGAACGCAAGCGGUGCUCGUGAAGGGUCUAAGGAGAUGCGUGACGCGCACCGUGAAAGAGCGCGACGGCGCACUUUUCCAUGUGAAUGGAUCAGCGCCUACAUUUUAUCACAGCGGCGCCGUUGCGAAGAGGCUAAGCUUCGAAGCUCGGCAGGUUGCGGGGACCCAAGGAGAACCUUGCGCGGCUGGAGACGUUAGCGUUUCAGUUCGAGCGGCUGCAUUGAUAGGCGGUGGUGCGUGUUGUUUGCACAGUCGCGGGGCACCAACCCUCUUUCCUUUCCCUGUCCUCCCUGGUGUACCCGCGGUAAAGGCGGCACAAUCCGGGUGCAAAGGGCAGCGUCAUCUCGAGCUUGUUUACACGCAGACACACAUAUGCACAUGCAUACCUACAGAUAGCAGGGAGAGAGGAGCGUCGAAGGGUGGCCUCCUACUGCUGCGCGGUGGAGUACCGCAUUCAUGGGGUGCGAGCGUGAAGAGGGCGGAAAGGGGGAUUAGGAUAACCUGGGUAGUAGUGGAACAAGUUCUGUAACGGCAAUGCAUACCCUUCUUUCCGCGGCCCUGCUACGGUGCUGCAAAUCCGUGUGACUCCCUUCUCUCACCACUUUCUCUACGCCUUUUUUCCCUCUUUCACAUUUAGACCCCAGGUGUGCGCAUGCCUAUGCUUUAUUCGUCGGUGCGGUGACCUUCUUUUGUCGAGCGUUCCGCCUCGUCGACGUGCACAUGCCUGUGAGCUCUUUUCGUGGCGUUUGCUUGCCCUUGCCUUUCUCCUUUGGUAUCCCGUGCGUUUAUUCCUUCUCCGUCUCUCGUCUGCACGGGGUGCCCUCUCGGGUGCUUCCCUUUUCCGUACCGUCUGCAUUCCCUGCCAUACAGCAAGGAGUUCAGCCUACAUUCAACCCCCCCGCCCUCGGCCGGUCACAGGCACAGCGCAUGGGGAGAUGCAGCGGUAGGGCAAGCCCUGCAGCCGUGCGCCGACCCAGUCACCCGGGCACCGCCGCUGCGUCGAACAGUGCUCACACACACACACACACACUCACACAGCAGCGGCCGUUGCGCCGGUCGCCACCCGGUGCACCCGCCACGGGGCCGGGCUCGGGCACCCCCACACCAGUGGGCAGUGUGAGGGCGGGGGCGCGAUGCCUUUCGAGCCACCUCCACACUCCGCCCAUCACAUGAACGGCACGGACGCGUUCGCUGACCGCAGGGCGCGGCGACGCCACGCUCACCAGGACAUGGCCGCCCGGCAUCAGCGGGGAUGCAUUGCUGUGGCUCCGCUACGCCGUAGGCGCUUGGCUGGGCCACCACCAGAGGCGGCUCCGCAGUGGCAGAGGAUAGGGGCGAGGGGCUGCUUGGCUUUUUCCGCACGCAAUGCGUGGGGGCGCUGGACCCUGCGACACCACGCACUGAGGUGUCGCCCCGUCAUGUGAGUGAAUGUUCUAUGCGCGAGGAAGUAGGAAACGAGGAUGUUGUCAUUAUUCUGUGUGUGUGUGGUCUGUGCGACAUAUUUGAAGGAGGUACGCUGGCACUGGUGUAUCUUGAAUCAACAAGUAUGUUGCGGCCUAGCUUGAACGCCCUGAAGGAUUGUGCCAGCGGUGGAGCUCAUGCGCAGUGCGCAGUGUGCUGUACCAUGGGCGUCUUCCAAAGAGGCUUGUUGUUGCGCGCAUGUG